rnacentral:rRNA from 1 species
AAUACGACUCUCGGCAACGGAUAUCUCGGCUCUCGCAUCRAUGAAGAACGUAGCGAAAUGCGAUACUUGGUGUGAAUUGCAGAAUCCCGUGAACCAUCGAGUCUUUGAACGCAAGUUGCGCCCAAGGCCGUUCGGUCGGUCGAGGGCACAUCUGCUUGGGCGUUAA